rnacentral:rRNA from 1 species
UACAGGGGGUGCAAACGUUGCUCGGAAUCAUUGGGCGUAAAGCGCACGUAGGCGGUUUGUUAUGUCGGAUGUGAAAGCCCUUGGCUCAACUGAGGAAGUGCAUCCGAAACUGGCAAGCUAGAGUACUAAAGAGGGUCGCGGAAUUCCCGGUGUAGAGGUGAAAUUCGUAGAUAUCUGGAGGAACACCGGUGGCGAAGGCGGCAUCCUGGACCGGUAUUGACGCUGAGGCGCGAAAGCCAGGGGAGCAAACGGG